GGACUCAAAGCAGACAGGGGAGGAGGCAGAGGCCCAGCCAGACACAAUGACUGAGUUAGAAACAGUCCUCAGCGCAAACCCUAAGCACCGUGGCUAGGCACAGCUCAAACCCGUGAGGCUGGCAGUAAAGCUCUGCCAUCACGGAGUUCACUGGGAGGUGCCUGUGUCCCGCACCGGGCUGUGUGAUGGUCUCUGGUGUCUGGCGGUUACCUCAGCCUUUGGCAGCCACCUCAAGCCCAACAGCGGCCAUCUCCAGCCCGGUGGUCACCACAGAUCUGCGGUCACCAUCAGUGCCUGGUGGCGAUCACAACUCUGCAUCCAUUGCAGCCUGGCAGUGGCUGACACAAUCCCAGCGAUGACUUGAGGCCGGUGCCCGCCACUGCUCUAAAACACCUCAGCCUGCUCUACAGAACCUCCAGCCCACAGACGGCCGCGUACGGCAUGAAUUUAGAAACACAUUUUUUGUUCCCACAACUUGCUUCAAGCAAUUUCUUCUUCCCUAAGUGCUGACUGAACCAAUUAUCAAGAGUGUCACAAGAAUGGAGAAAAAUAUUCUGUUACCAAAGACCAUGCAGCUUUGCAAUGACCAGAAAAAAGGCUGGUGGGAGCAACAAUUCAAGAUCCAUCCCCAGUUGCAAGAACUGCUAAGCAGUACUGCUAAGCAAGUACUCUACAACUACCAGGGUCAGAACAAGAGUGAUGUAUGAACAUCUCUACACAGUUACCCUGCCCAGAGUCACAUACCAAGGACACACAGGGUAAAAAGCUAAUUCAGUACCAGGACACACGGAAGAAUUUGGCUUCAUUUUUUUCCUUUCUUUUUCUCCUGUUACUUUAUUCCAGAAACAAUGUAUAUGAAAGAGCAAACUUAUCUGGGGAUGAUUUAGUUUUUGCUAUAAAAUAAGACAUUUAAUAGUACUCCUGCUAAUCUGUACCGGACAGUGAACAAAUGAUUUAAAAGAGCUGGUGCAGGUGGGAAUUGCUAUCCAUACAAGUAGGCUAUGCUGGAAAUCAACAUACAUUGUGAAAUAUUCCUGAAAUAAUCCAGUAUUGUCACCUAGUUAUUCCAAGCACAAUGUAACAGGUCUUUGACAGAUGGCUUUAAAGCAGGCUCAACCCAUAAAUGCUUUUUAUUUUACAAGACUUUUAUUCUCUUUCACAGAUUUGACUAUUACAGCAGUGAAAGUAUUACAAGUGACUCAUAACAUUUAGUUCCAAAUAAAAGUAGAAAAACACAAAAACACUAAGGGAAAGUUAAAUGAGAUAUGAUGUGUGGUAAAUGUGUUUUAAGAGCACAGAAAAAAUAUAUAAAAAUACAUUAGGAUCAAGAAAUUUACUGACAGGUUUUGAUUUAGUUACAAUUUUGACACCACCUAGAAAGCACAGUAUAUUGAAAACUGUUAAUUAGAAAGGUGAUAAAUCCAACAGUAUAUAAAAGGAAAAAAUGAAAAAGAAGAAUGAAAGGAGGUGUGUGUGUGUUGUGGGGAAGUCUAUUUUAUGGCAAACUUCCAGUCCUUUGGCCACUAUAAAGCAAAGUCUGUGGAUUUCAUAUAAAUUCUCUGUAUAAAGGAAUGUCUAUGAACUGUGUACAGUAUGGCCCAGAAUAAACAUCUCAUUAUCAGUCUAA